ACGCUCGACACCUACGGGAAGCAGCAGUGGGGAAUAUUGCACAAUGGGGGAAACCCUGAUGCAGCGACGCCGCGUGAGUGAAGAAGUAUUUCGGUAUGUAAAGCUCUAUCAGCAGGGAAGAAAAUGACGGUACCUGAGUAAGAAGCCCCGGCUAACUACGUGCCAGCAGCCGCGGUAAUCUGAGCGGGCUGGCAAGGC
rnacentral:rRNA from 1 species